rnacentral:rRNA from 1 species
UACGGAGGGUGCAAACGUUGCUCGGAAUCAUUGGGCGUAAAGCGCGCGUAGGCGCGAGGCAAGUUGGAUGUGAAAGCCCUGGGCUCAACCUAGGAUGUGCAUACAAAACUGCCUCGCUUGAAUCUCGGAGGGGGUCAGGGAAUCCCGGUGUAGAGGUGAAAUUCGUAGAUAUCGGGAGGAACACCAGUGGCGAAGGCGCUGACCUGGACGAUGAUUGACGCUGAGGCGCGAAAGCGUGGGGAGCAAACAGG